rnacentral:rRNA from 1 species
GACGAAGGGGGCUAGCGUUGUUCGGAAUCACUGGGCUUAAAGCGCGUGUAGGCGGGGCGGCACGUCGGUCGCUGAAAUCCCCCGGCUCAACCGGGGAAGGGGCGCCGAUACGACCGGCCUGGAGGGACGUAGGGGGGGCUGGAACUUCCGGUGGAGCGGUGAAAUGCGUUGAGAUCGGAAGGAACGCCCGUGGCGAAAGCGAGCCCCUGGACGUCUACUGACGCUGAGACGCGAAAGCCAGGGGAGCGAACAGG